UAAGGCCCCUUCGGGGGUACACGAGCGGCGAACGGGUGAGUAACACGUGAGCAACCUACCCUCAACUUUGGGAUAAGCCUCGGAAACGGGGUCUAAUACCGGAUAACACCAUACUUCUCAUGGGGUGUGGUUGAAAGUUCUGGCGGUUGGGGAUGGGCUCGCGGCCUAUCAGCUUGUUGGUGGGGUAAUGGCCUACCAAGGCGUCGACGGGUAGCCGGCCUGAGAGGGCGACCGGCCACACUGGGACUGAGACACGGCCCAGACUCCUACGGGAGGCAGCAGUGGGGAAUAUUGCGCAAUGGACGAAAGUCUGACGCAGCAACGCCGCGUGAGGGAUGACGGCCUUCGGGUUGUAAACCUCUUUCAGCAGGGACGAAGCGAGAGUGACGGUACCUGCAGAAGAAGGACCGGCCAACUACGUGCCAGCAGCCGCGGUAAUACGUAGGGUCCGAGCGUUGUCCGGAAUUAUUGGGCGUAAAGGGCUCGUAGGCGGUUCGUCACGUCGGGAGUGAAAACUCGGGGCUUAACCCCGAGCCUGCUUCCGAUACGGGCAGACUAGAGGUAGGCAGGGGAGAGCGGAACUCCUGGUGUAGCGGUGGAAUGCGCAGAUAUCAGGAAGAACACCGGUGGCGAAGGCGGCUCUCUGGGCCUUACCUGACGCUGAGGAGCG
rnacentral:rRNA from 1 species